rnacentral:rRNA from 1 species
AUUGAACGCUGGCGGCAUGCUUUACACAUGCAAGUCGAACGGCAGCGGGGUAGUGCUUGCACUACUGCCGGCGAGUGGCGAACGGGUGAGUAAUAUAUCGGAACGUACCGAGUAAUGGGGGAUAACCAAUCGAAAGAUUGGCUAAUACCGCAUACGUCCUGAGGGAGAAAGCGGGGGAUCGCAAGACCUCGCGUUAUUCGAGCGGCCGAUAACUGAUUAGCUAGUUGGUGGGGUAAAGGCCUACCAAGGCGACGAUCAGUAGCGGGUCUGAGAGGACGAUCCGCCAAACUGGGACUGAGACACGGCCCAGACUCCUACGGGAGGCAGCAGUGGGGAAUUUUGGACAAUGGGGGCAACCCUGAUCCAGCCAUGCCGCGUGUAUGAAGAAGACCUUCGGGUUGUAAAGUACUUUUGUUAGGGAAGAAAAGGGAAGUGCUAAUACCACUUUUUGCUGACGGUACCUAAAGAAUAAGCACCGGCUAACUACGUG